UACGUAGGGUGCAAGCGUUAGUCGGAAUUACUGGGCGUAAAGCGUGCGCAGGCGGUUUGUUAAGACAGAUGUGAAAUCCCCGGGCUUAACCUGGGAACUGCAUUUGUGACUGGCAAGCUAGAGUAUGGCAGAGGGGGGGUAGAAUUCCACGUGUAGCAGUGAAAUGCGUAGAGAUGUGGAGGAAUACCGAUGGCGAAGGCAGCCCCCUGGGCCAAUACUGACGCUCAUGCCACGAA
rnacentral:rRNA from 1 species